CCUACGGGAGGCAGCAGUGAGGAAUAUUGGUCAAUGGGCGCGAGCCUGAACCAGCCAAGUAGCGUGAAGGAUGACUGCCCUACGGGUUGUAAACUUCUUUUAUCAAGGAAUAAAGUGAGGCACGUGUGCCUUUUUGUAUGUACUUUAUGAAUAAGGAUCGGCUAACUCCGUUCCAGCAGCCGCGGUAAUACGGAGGAUCCGAGCGUUAGCCGGAUUUAUUGGGUUUAAAGGGAGCGUAGAUGGGUUGUUAAGUCAGGUGUGAAAGUUUGCGGCUCAACCGUGAAAUUGCAGUUGAUACUGGCAGUCUCGAGUACAGGUGAGGUAUGCGGAAUUCGUGGUGUAGCGGUGAAAUGCUUAGAUAUCACGAAGAACUCCGAUUGCGAAGGCAGCUUACUAGACUGACACUGACAUUGAGGCUCGAAAGUGUGGGUAUCAAACAGGAUUAGAUACCCGGGUAGUC
rnacentral:rRNA from 1 species